UGGCAGGCUGUAGUCCUGCAAACAUGGGUUUAAGUCCUGUUUCUAUCA
rnacentral:tRNA from 1 species